rnacentral:misc_RNA from 1 species
CCUAGAGUUGUAGGCUUUGCCUGCUAUCUCUUACCCAUGUCUUUUGAGUACCUUACGUUUCCUCGGUGGGUUCGCCCACCGAUUGGACAAACUUAAAACCCUUUGCAGUUGAAAUCAGCGUCUGAAAAAACUUAAUAGUUA